rnacentral:rRNA from 1 species
CCUACGGGUGGCAGCAGUGGGGAAUAUUGCACAAUGGGGGAAACCCUGAUGCAGCAACGCCGCGUGAAGGAAGACGGUUUUCGGAUUGUAAACUUCUGUUCGUAGUGAAGAAGAAUGACGGUAGCGAAGGAGCAAGCCACGGCUAACUACGUGCCAGCAGCCGCGGUAAUACGUAGGUGGCAAGCGUUGUCCGGAAUGACGGGGUGUAAAGGGAGCGCAGGCGGGAAGCCAAGUCAGCGGUGAAAACUACGGGCUUAACUUGUAGACUGCAGUUGAAACUGGUUUUCUUGAGUGAAGUAGUUGUUGGCGGACUUCCGAGUGUAGCGGUGAAAUGCGUCGAUAUUCGGCGGAACACCGGUUGC